GGUCGGUUAGCUCAGUUGGUUAGAGCGUGGUGCUAAUACCUUGUUGGCUCCUUACUCAGUAAGGCAAAGUUAACGCCAAGGUCGCGGGUUCGACCCCCGUACUGACCA
rnacentral:tRNA from 1 species